GACGAACGCUGGCGGCGUGCUUAACACAUGCAAGUCGAACGGAAAGGCCCUGCUUUUGUGGGGUGCUCGAGUGGCGAACGGGUGAGUAACACGUGAGUAACCUGCCCUUGACUUUGGGAUAACUUCAGGAAACUGGGGCUAAUACCGGAUAGGAGCUCCUGCUGCAUGGUGGGGGUUGGAAAGUUUCGGCGGUUGGGGAUGGACUCGCGGCUUAUCCGCUUGUUGGUGGGGUAGGGGCUUACCAAGGCUUUGACGGGUAGCCGGCCUGGGAGGGUGACCGGCCACAUUGGGACUGAGAUACGGCCCAGACUCCUACGGUAGGCAGCAGUGGGGAAUAUUGCACAAUGGGCGGAAGCCUGAUGCAGCAACGCCGCGUGCGGGAUGACGGCCUUCGGGUUGUAAACCGCUUUCGCCUGUGACGAAGCGUGAGUGACGGUAAUGGGUAAAGAAGCACCGGCUAACUACGUG
rnacentral:rRNA from 1 species